GGAGGUAUAGCUCAGAGGCAGAGCACAUGCUUAGAAUGCUCAAGGCCCUGGGUUCUAAUCCCAGCACCACCC
rnacentral:tRNA from 1 species